rnacentral:rRNA from 1 species
CGUGUAGGCGGCCAGGUAGGUCUGCUGUGAAAACUCGAGGCUCAACCUCGAGCUGUCGGUGGAAACCAUCUGGCUAGAGUCCGGAAGAGGAGAAUGGAAUUCCUGGUGUAGCGGUGAAAUGCGCAGAUAUCAGGAAGAACACCCGCGGCGAAGGCGGUUCUCUGGGACGGUACUGACGCUGAGACGCGAAAGCGUGGGGAGCAAACA